rnacentral:rRNA from 1 species
GUGCCAGCAGCCGCGGUAAUUCCAGCUCCAAUAGCGUAUAUUAAAGUUGUUGUGGUUAAAAAGCUCGUAGUUGAACCUUGGGCCUGGCUGGCCGGUCCGCCUCACCGCGUGCACUGGUCCGGCCGGGCCUUUCCCUCUGUGGAACCCCAUACCCUUCACUGGGCGUGGCGGGGAAACAGGACAUUUACUUUGAAAAAAUUAGAGUGCUCCAGGCAGGCCUAUGCUCGAAUACAUUAGCAUGGAAUAAUAAAAUAGGACGCGCGGUUCUAUUUUGUUGGUUUAUAGGACCGCCGUAAUGAUUAAUAGGGACAGUCGGGGGCAUCAGUAUUCAACUGUCAGAGGUGAAAUUCUUGGAUCAGUUGAAGACUAACUACUGCGAAAGCAUUUGCCAAGGAUGUUUUCAUUAAUCAGGAACGAAAGUUAGGGGAUCGAAGACGAUCAGAUACCGUCGUAGUCUUAACCAUAAACUAUGCCGACUAGGGAUCGGACGGUGUUAUUCAUGACCCGUUCGGCACCUUACGAGAAAUCAAAGUGCUUGGGCUCCAGGGGGAGUAUGGUCGCAAGGCUGAAACUUAAAGAAAUUGACGGAAGGGCACCACCAGGGGUGGAGCCUGCGGCUUAAUUUGACUCAACACGGGGAAACUCACCAGGUCCAGACACAAUAAGGAUUGACAGAUUGAGAGCUCUUUCUUGAUUUGUGGGGUGGUGGUGCAUGGCCGUUCUUAGUUGGUGGGGUGACUUGUCUGCUUAAUUGCGAUACGAACGAGACCUAACCUGCUAAAUAGCCCGCAUGCUCCGGCAGGUGCGCUGGCUUCUAAGAGGGACUUCCGGCUCAAGCCGGAGA